rnacentral:tRNA from 1 species
GGCGGUAUCGUCUAGGGGCUAGGACGUGUGGUUCUCAGCCAUAAAACCGGGGUUCGAUUCCCCGUACCGCUACCA